rnacentral:rRNA from 1 species
AACGAACGCUGGCGGCAGGCUUAACACAUGCAAGUCGAACGCCAAGCAAGGGCAGUGGCAGGCGGGUGAGUAACGCGUGGGAAUCUACCCAGUUCUACGGAACACCUGAGGGAAACUUCAGCUAACACCGUAUACGCCCUAGCGGGGAAAGAUUUAUCGGAAUUGGAUGAGCCGGGGGUGGAUUAGCUAGUUGGUGGGGUAAUGGCCUACCAAGGCGACGAUGCAUAGCUGGUCUGAGAGGAUGAUCAGCCAAACUGGGACUGAGACACGGCCAAUGCUCCUACGGGAGGUAGCAGUGGGGACUAGUGGACACUGGGCGCAAGCCUGAUCCAGCCAUGCCGCGUGAGUGAUGAAGGCCUUAGGGUUGUAAAGGUCUUGCAGUGGGGACGAUAAUGACGGUACCCACAGAAGGAGCCCGGGCUGACUUCGUGCCAGCCGCCGCUGUAAAUC